rnacentral:lncRNA from 1 species
AUUUUCCCAGGCAGCAGUUGUUGCAACAGCGAAGCGAAGCGACGGCUGCCGCCGCUCCUGACAGCGCACCACUUGUUAGGUUGCUCUCCGAGCCUCGGGUGUGUUUCGUGUCGAUUUUUAACCUCAUCCUUCAACCACCCACGUGCAAGAACAGCCGGGAUUUUUGUGUUCCACGGAUUUAGGAUUAAUUCGCCUGUUGAGAUAUGAUCUGGACUGGAUUGUUGAAAAUGGAAUUGUGGUGGUUGUCGCAAUCAUAAAAGACCUGAAGCCUGAUCCGAAGCAUGUUCACUCAGAAGUAAGAUCCAUUGAAUUCAGUGUGCCUGGACACUU